CCAAUGCUUCUAAUUUCAUAGCAAGCUCGCUUGCUAUGAAAUAGGCAACCAGUAAUAUAAGCAAGUGUGUGCUAUUUAUAGCGCUAGCCUACAAACCUAUAAUUAUAUUAACUCUAAGAGAAAUUUAAUAAUAAACGAAGUGAAUUGAAAUAUCUUAGUAACUUUAGGAAAAGAAAUCAAAAGAGAUUCUAUGAUUAGCGUGAGCUAAAAUAGACUAGCCUAAAAAGUCAAAUGGUGGAUAAACUGUUUAAAUUAAAUGGGGAACCUUCCUCAAAGGCUAAAUAUAAUAUAUAAGCGAUAGUGGAAAGUACCGUGAGGGAACCAAAACAAAAACAGUGAUUUUAUAAGCAGUUCGGUAAAAUAAAAAAAAGUUAGAACGUACCUUUUGCAUAAUGGGUCACCAAGUUAACAUUAGAUGCGAGUAGGAGGGAGCAGCCCCGUGCAUACGUAGUUAAACCGAGCGUUAAAAUAACGGUAAGUAUCUAAAGUUAGACCCGAAGCCUGGUGAUUUUACCAUAAUCAGGAUUAUAAAAGUCCGAACGGAAUAUUGUAGCAUAAAUAUCCGAAGAAUUAUGGUAGGUGUAGUGAAAGACAAUACUGACCAGGAUAGCUGGUUUUCUGCGAAACCUAUAACAGUAGGCAAUUUAAGUAUAAUAUCUUAGCAGGUACAGAAUUUAAUCUCAGACAAGACAUAAGGCUUAGCUUGUUAGCAAGUAAAGCUCAUGUUUUAUUUUGUACAAAUUGGGGGAUCAUGAAGAUUUUAUCAGUGAGUAUGUAGACUCGGAAUGGCAAAGAUAUAUCUUAAAUCAUCAGACAUAGAAUGAUAAGGUUGUAUGUCAAAAGGGAAACAGCCCAGAACAAGAGUUAAGGUUCCUAAAUUAUUAGUUGAGUGAAAUUAAGAAGGUUUUUAUUAAAGUCGACAAGGAGAUAGGCUUAGAAGCAGCCAUAAUUUUAUGACCUCGUAACAGAGCGCUUGUUAAGUUUUAAAAGCAUCGAAAAUUUAUCGGAUCUAAACAAUAUACCGAAACCUUGUCCAUAUUAUUUUAUAAUUAAAGCUUAAUUAUAAUUAAAUGGGGUAGCAGAACGUUGAGCUAAAUUAAGAUUUUUAUUUUUUAAAUGAAAUUAUAAUAAUUUAACUCAAGUGAUAAUGGUGACAUGAGUAACUAAAAGAAAAAAUAAAAUUUUUCCGCCUAAAGCUUAUGGAUGUAAUUAAGUAACGGCCUCUAAGUUUAUAUUAUCUAAAGAUUUAAACGAUGAGAUAAUCUUUUGUACUAAGGACGACAUUUUAAGUGAAAAAUGUACUGGAAAAAUAGUACUAAAUUAAUGGCUAUAGCUAAUUAGGGCUAUAGCUAUAAAUGAAAAGUAACCGUACCUAGAAUCUGAAACAAGUAAGCUAGUAGAGAAUACGAAGGCGUAAAUGAGCUAACAAUCAUAAAGGAACUCGGCAAAUUGACUACCGUAACUUCGGGAUAAGGAGAGCUCAUUAUUCUUGAUUAAUAUCAGGUAAAGAGGAAGAAGCAUGAAAUAGUGUUGUACGACUGUUUAAUUAAAACACAGCACUUUGCUGAAAGAUUAAAAAUCUAAGUAUAGAGUGUGAUGUCUGCCCGGUGCCGGCUGGUUAACAGAUAUAAUUAAAUAUACUAAUAUUUGAUGUAGACGGAAACCCCGGUUAAAGGCGGCCUUAACGUGAGGGUCCUAAGGUAGCGAAAUGCCUUGGCCGUUAAAUGCGGUCUUGCAUGAAUGAUGUAACGAUACAACAGCUGUCUCUAUGAUUGACUCAGUGAAAUUGGAAUAGCUGUGCAGAUACAGUUUACCUCUAGUUAGACGAGAAGACCCUAUGCAGCUUUACUGUCACUAAUUAUAGAGUAUGAUAAACAAUUUUCAGAUUAUAAGGUAAUUGACGGCUAGCUUGUUCAGCAAGCUAGCUCUAUGACAAUGAGAAUCCUUUAUUUUUUUUUCAUAUGAAUGAAUUGGUUUAGGAUUAUGAGUAGGUAGCUGCUUCUGCUACUUGGCGCAAGCAUUGCUUGCGUCAAGUGUCUGAAGUAUGCAUUCCAGCUCAUGCAUAGUAAAUCAACCUAAUUCAGCUUAUUUUCCUUUCUGCCAUAAGCGCAUAAUGAUAGAUUUAACUUAAAUUUAGAUUUAUGCCGAGCCCCUCCGGGGCUACUGCAGAAAUAGAUAAGUACCCUUGGCUAAGGAACUAUCGCUAGGGGACAGUUUAUGUGGGGCACAGACCCUGUAAAGAGUAAACAGGAGUGUCUAAUAAUUUAUAAUUAUUUUGUUUGCGAUUUAAGAUAGUGAAACUAUUUUUAAUCAUAUAAAAUUAUUUAUAUGUACAUUCGUUGUAUAUAUAUUUAAAAAAAGGUAGGAUUUUCACUAUAUAGAAAUUAGAGAUAAUAAAAAUAUUAAGAAUAUACCUUUCAGGUAGCACUAAUAUUUUUUAGCUAUUAAGACAGGCUAUCAAGCUAGGCUCUAAUAGUUAUGUAUUAAUUAUCUAAAAAGCUCAACGGCUAAAUCUUGCCUUACUGUUUGAUUAUCAACAAAUCUUA
rnacentral:rRNA from 1 species